UAGAGUUUGAUCCUGGCUCAGGAUGAACGCUGGCGGUAUGCUUAACACAUGCAAGUCGAACGGUCUCUUCGGAGAUAGUGGCGGACGGGUGAGUAACGCGUAAGAAUCUACCUUCAGGUUGGGGACAACCACUGGAAACGGUGGCUAAUACCGAAUGUGCCGAGAGGUGAAAGGCUUGCUGCCUGAAGAAGAGCUUGCGUCUGAUUAGCUAGUUGGUGGGGUAAGGGCCUACCAAGGCGAUGAUCAGUAGCUGGUCUGAGAGGAUGAUCAGCCACACUGGGACUGAGACACGGCCCAGACUCCUACGGGAGGCAGCAGUGGGGAAUUUUCCGCAAUGGGCGAAAGCCUGACGGAGCAAUACCGCGUGAGGGAGGAAGGCUCUUGGGUUGUAAACCUCUUUUCUCAGGGAAGAAUGCAAUGACGGGUACUUGAGGAAUAAGCAUCGGCUAACUCCGUGCCAGCAGCCGCGGUAAUACGGAGGAUGCAAGCGUUAUCCGGAAUGAUUGGGCGUAAAGGGUCCGCAGGUGGCAUUGUAAGUCUGCUGUUAAAGAGUUUGGCUCAACCAAAUAAAAGCAGUGGAAACUACAAAGCUAGAGUGUGGUCGGGGCAGAGGGAAUUCCUGGUGUAGCGGUGAAAUGCGUAGAUAUCAGGAAGAACAUCGGUGGCGAAGGCGCUCUGCUAGGCCAAAACUGACACUGAGGGACGAAAGCUAGGGGAGCGAAUGGGAUUAGAUACCCCAGUAGUCCUAGCCGUAAACGAUGGAUA
rnacentral:rRNA from 1 species